rnacentral:lncRNA from 1 species
UGCUGCAUAAUUACUGUUAAGAUCUAUCAAAAUGUACUGAGAAGGCUUGCUCCUUGCUCAAAUCUGAUGAAUGAACAGGCAAGCAGCGCCUAGGAAGACUUUUAAGAGGAAUGGAUCAAAUUAAGAACACGAAGAAAUGCAACCAAGAAAACAUCAGAGAAGAUGAGGAUCUUAAAAGCAAGCAGCUAUAUGAAAAACACUGUGAUUGAAACACAACACGAGGACAGCCCCUUCCACUCCUGACAUCUCGUGGGUCUGGAUAACAAAGAAUGUACAGGAGAACGGCAUAAAAAGUGCCUAAUAAUGAUUCCUAAUCAGCAAAAGUACCCAAGUCACAGGAGGCACGCAACAGUGAAUAUUUAAUCCUGGAAGAGGUCAUAGCUUUUCAAGCUCACUCUUACCCAUCUUAAAACUGGGAUUAUAGGAAAUCAAGUACACGAAGAAAUGAAGAAAUGAAGAUAAGACUUCUCAAAAUUCACCGUCCCUGGGUUUUCCACGCUCGAGUGGAGUUUUGAGGCCUUGUUUCCAGACAAUGACAUGCACCCAAUUGAAAAAUGGAUGAAUUAAAGCUUUUUGCUGUUCUCCCGUUCAAAUUGGAUGGGUUACCUAAUUUGACUGAGUGCUUAGAAAUUAGUCAAUAAGGCAACUAAUUAAUAAUUUGGCUAGGAGGGAAAAAGUCAAUUUCUCAGCCGCACACAGAUGUAAGGCAGGGAACAUCUUGAGGUGGCUCAUGACACAAUUUCAGCAGUUUACCUUGUUGCACUGAAAAUCUGCAGGCCUUGUUAAAGCAAGAAUUUUGGAUUCAUUGCAUUUUGUAUUUGCCUUUUUCUUCCCAAUGGAAUGGUAUCUUGGAGAAAAAAAAAAUGGUGGGCAGAGGGGGGAAAGCUGUGAGCAGUAAUUAAUUUAAUAUGAGAUAUAGUCACACUAUGUUCUAUAUGACACGUAUUUAUAAACUACAGUGCAUUGUAAUAAUGUAAUCGUGGUAUAGCAAGUAUUUCCUACAUCCUAGGUCCCAUGUUAAGUAAGUACCUUGUAUACCUUAUUUUAUGCUUAUAGUCCCAUAAUGAGGAAGGCACUAUGCUCCCCAUUUUAUAGGUCACAAAACAGGCCCAGAGAGUACAACCACUUGCCAACCAAGACCAUACAAUAGCAAAGAAAAUAGCAAG